UACGUAGGGUGCAAGCGUUGUCCGGAAUUAUUGGGCGUAAAGAGCUCGUAGGCGGCUUGUCGCGUCGGCUGUGAAAACCUGGGGCUCAACCCCGGGCCUGCAGCCGAUACGGGCAAGCUAGAAUUCGGUAGGGGAGACUGGAAUUCCUGGUGUAGCGGUGAAAUGCGCAGAUAUCAGGAGGAACAUCGGUGGCGAAGGCGGGUCUCUGGGCCGAUAUUGACGCUGAGGAGCGAAAGCGUGGGGAGCGAACAGG
rnacentral:rRNA from 1 species